rnacentral:rRNA from 1 species
AUUGAACGCUGGCGGCAGGCCUAACACAUGCAAGUCGAACGAGCGGCGGACGGGUGAGUAAUGUAUGGGGAUCUGCCCGAUGGAGGGGGAUAACUACUGGAAACGGUAGCUAAUACCGCAUACUAUCGGAUGUACCCAUAUGGGAUUAGCUAGUAGGUGGGGUAACGGCUCACCUAGGCGACGAUCCCUAGCUGGUCGGAGAGGAGGACCAGCGACACGGGGACGGAGACACGGACCAGACUCCUACGGGAGGCAGCAGUGGGGAAGAUGGCACAAUGGGCGCAAGCCUGAUGCAGCCAUGCCGCGUGUAUGAAGAAGGCCUUAGGGUGGGAAAGUACUUUCAGCGGGUAGGCGUUACCCGCAGAAGAAGCACCGGCUAACUCCGUGCCAGCAGCCGCGGUAAUAC